GGGGCUGUAACGGUUUCGACGUUUUGGCGAACGCUACCCUUUGAUGCAGGCCGAGAGUGAGUCAUCUCUCGCAAAUCAAGGACUCAAAACAACGUACAUGCGAACAACAUCGUACCUUUUGCUCGUAAGGAAGCAGCUGUAGCUGUAGCCUAAAAAAACCUCUCAUAGGUCCGAGCGUCUGUAGUUUGACUCCGUUAAGGAUUGCAGACAAAACCCCAACGGAUGCGCUAGCAAGUUUUCUCUGAUUGGCUGGCUAGCUAAGACUUAAUUAGAGCAUCCUACUGUCUGGGAUAAGAGGCAGUUCCCGCCUUGAGGACUAGAUAGGCUAAGCCUGUGAAAGAGGGGGGUAUUAAUACCCAGAGCGGACACGGGUUCGACUCCCGUCAGCUCCAUCC
rnacentral:tmRNA from 1 species